rnacentral:rRNA from 1 species
UUGCACGUCAGAACCGCUACGAGCCUCCACCAGAGUUUCCUCUGGCUUCGCCCUCCUCAGGAAUAGUUCACCAUCUUUCGGGUCGCAACACACUCGCUCCACCGCAAGGCCUUCCGAAAACAUCAGGCUCGGGCGCCGGUGCCCCUCGGGAGAGGGUAUCGGCUUUCACUU